UUCAUCUUUAUAUAUUUAAUAUAUACAAAUGAUAUAAAAUCUAUUAUAUAUAAUAUCAUAUAUUUAAUAAUAUAUAAUACAUAUAUUACACACACACACACACACACACACUGGGUAUUAACUCAGGGACACCUGACCACUGAGCCACAUUCCCAGCCCUAUUGUGUAUUUUAUUUUGAGACAGGGUCUCACUGAGUUGCUUAGUGCCUAGCUUUUGCUAAGGCUGGCUUUGAACUCACAAUCCUCCUGCCUCAGCCUCUGUGUUAGAAUCUUAUAGGUAUGUGCCACUACACCUGGCUAUAAAAACAUUUUUGAUCAUAUGGAUUCUGUGAAAUAGUUUGAACACCUCCAAGGAUUCCACAGAUCACACUUUGAGAACUGCUGCUCUGAGUAAACUGUGGAGAGAUCCCAACUGAUCCCAACUUCUUUGCUUGAUUCACUGUCACUGCUCUCAGUAAUUGUUUAAAACAUAUUUAAAAAAUGGUAUUUGUGAACAAGUAAUGGAAUUUUGCACAAUUAUGUGCAUAAAGAAAAAAAGAAGUUCUUAGAAAUUAAAAACUAGUCACAGAAAUAUAUAAUUCUAUAGAUGGUUUGGACAAUUAAAAUAGUAUCAGAAAAGAAGUAGUGUAAUUGCAAAAGUAAUGGUAAUGAAGACAGAAAAACUAUAAGAGCAUAAGGAUAUCAAUAAAAGAUUUUCAGUAACUGAAAAAUAUGAGUUCUAGAAUAAUUGAAUGUAAGGAAUGAUUUUAAAAUCUCAAUGAAUAUUCUCAGUUUUUUCAGUUCCCCCCAAAUUACAUUUGAAUUGCCACAAAAUGAAUGAAAACAGACUCAUGUCAAGAAACACUGCAAUGAAAUUUCAGAAAAUACGAAGAAGACCACCCUGAAUAUUUCAAGAGGCAGGUAAAGCAACUUUUUGAGCUAGAAAAUGUUGAAACAAUCUCAUGUGCAUUCUAAGUGAAAAUAUUUUCAACACAGAAUUCUGUACUAAGUUGGACGAAGAGCUAGGGUGUCCUAGGGAUAUUUUAGAUGUUUAAGGUUUCUAUAUCUUCUGUGCCAUGUUCCCAUAAGAUAUGAAAGUGAGAAAUAGAAAUGAUGGCGAAAACCAAGCAAAGGUGAUAUGUGAAAUGUAGUUAAUAGGGAGCCAUCACAAGAGAGGGAAGCCAAAUGUGUUCCCCAAUGAGGUGAAGGAACACAAGGAUAUCAAUAAAAGAUCCAGGGAGUCAGCCUUGCUCCAGUUGUGAAGGCAUCCAGGUCUGGCAGGACUGAGGGCUCUAGGACAGGAGUCUUUACAAAGACCAAGUUGGUGGAUUCCUGGAUAUACUUGAAUGUACUCAGGGAGACUGUGUUAGUCUAUUUGGCUGCUCUAACAGAACACCACAUAUUGAGUAAAUUAGGAAGAACAGAAAUUUAUUUUCUCACCAUAAUUAAAGUUGGAAGACCAAGUUCAAAGCACUGGCAUCUGACCAGGGUCCUUUGCUGUUUCCUCAUGUGGUAGAAGGUGUAAGGGCAAGACAGGCAGAAGGGGCUGAUCUGUUUAUGAUGACUCACUCACCUCCCAUUAGGCCCCAUCUCCCCACACCACCACAUUGAAGAUCAAGUAUCCAAUAUGUAAACUUUGGAACACUCAUUCAAACCAUAGCUGAGACCCUGGAAAAGAGUUUGAGAAAGUUUCAGUAAUGAAUACAACAGGAACUAAGCAAAAGAAAGAAGAACACUUUUAUUAACUGCAGGGAAGUUAAAAAUCAGUUCAAGGAAACAAAGUAAUGAAAGCUACAAGCCUAGAUGUAAAUAACGCUUGCAUAAUCAGUAUAACGUAAACAACAUUGAUCUAAUCAAAAUUAUAAAAUGACUUAAAAGGACAGGGGUAUGUGAAGCUCUCCACUAAAAGUGCCACUUGAAAAAGUAAGAAGGAGCCCUGUUAGCAUUCUAUUUAGGGUCACAGAUGUAGCAAUAAAAGCAUCAGGCAAGAGAAGUAAAGGUGGCUGCCUCUGGGGUUCAGGAAAUGGGGCUGCAUGGAAGAUUGGGGUUAUCUGUCUUUGUAUCAAACCUUGUAGAAAUAUUUGUCUUUUAAAUGCUGUCAUGAUUCUGCUAGAAAAACAAAAAUUCAACUUUUAAAAAGGCAACAUGAGAGAAAGGACCCACAUAUCACUCUCUAAGGUGUAUCAGAGUAAUGGGGCAGUAAUGGGAGAGACACAUAGGAUCAGAUGGUGGAUAGUUAUGGAGGAAUUUUGUUUUAUUUACUGAAUUUAUUCAUUUUUUUUAAACAGGAUAUAGCUGCAAUAUGGUUGAUGCAGGAAUGAGUGAUCUAAAGAGAGUGAAAGGUGAUGAUGCAGGGGAGGGAGGGAUCAUCUGUGGGAAACCAUCUUCAUGUGACUGAGUUUCCUCCUGGACUGGGUGCUGAGGCAUCCAGUCGCAGAAAUGUGGUACGACUUUCCCCACCCUUCUUGGGUUCGAGAACGUGUCCGUGUAGAGGCAUGUCUCACCACUAUUCAAAGGACCCAAUCACCUCAUCUGACCUUGCAACAAUGUGCCCCAUGUUCCUCAUUGGAUGGGAUUUUCCCCAGAAUUUUUAGUUCCCCAAUAAAAGCCCACUCCAUAGCGUGCUCCUGCUCUCUCACUAGCCUCUUCAGUGAAACCUCA
rnacentral:lncRNA from 1 species